rnacentral:rRNA from 1 species
UACGAAGGGAGCUAGCGUUGUUCGGAAUCACUGGGCGUAAAGCGCACGUAGGCGGAUGUGUCAGUCAGGGGGUGAAAUCCCGGAGCUCAACUUCGGAACUGCCUUUGAUACUGCAAAUCUCGAGUCCGGAAGAGGUGAGUGGAAUUCCUAGUGUAGAGGUGAAAUUCGUAGAUAUUAGGAAGAACACCAGUGGCGAAGGCGGCUCACUGGUCCGGUACUGACGCUGAGGUGCGAAAGCGUGGGGAGCAAACAGG